rnacentral:rRNA from 1 species
CCUACGGGGAGCAGCAGUGAGGAAUAUUGGUCAAUGGGCGCGAGCCUGAACCAGCCAAGUAGCGUGAAGGAUGACUGCCCUACGGGUUGUAAACUUCUUUUAUAAAGGAAUAAAGUGAGGCACGUGUGCCUUUUUGCAUGUACUUUAUGAAUAAGGAUCGGCUAACUCCGUGCCAGCAGCCGCGGUAAUACGGAGGAUCCGAGCGUUAUCCGGAUUUAUUGGGUUUAAAGGGUGCGUAGGCGGGGAGGUAAGUCAGCGGUGAAAUGCCUCGGCUCAACGGGGUGAUGUGCCUUUGAUAGUGGCGUGCUGGAGUGCGGAUGACGUAGGAGGAAUGUGUGGUGUAGCGGUGAAAUGCAUAGAUAUCACACAGAACACCGAUUGCGAAGGCAUCUCACGAAUCCGCGAUUGACGCUGAUGCACGAAAGCGUGGGUAUCGAACAGGAUUAGAUACCCGUGUAGUC